rnacentral:rRNA from 1 species
GACGAACGCUGGCGGCGUGCUUAACACAUGCAAGUCGAACGGAGUGGCGAACGGGUGAGUAAAACGUGGGUGAACUGCCUGCACUUCGGGAUAAGCCUGGGAAAAUAGGUCUAAUAAAGGCCAGUUUGGGAUGGGCCUGGGGCCUAUCAGCUUGUUGGUGGGGUAAUGGCCUAGCAAGGCGGCGACGGGUAGCCGGCCUGAGAGGGUGGACGGCCACAGUGGGACUGGGGCACGGACCAUAGUCCUACGUGAGGCAGCAGUGGAGAGCAGUGCACAAUGGGCGGAAGCCUGAGGCAACGACUUCGCGGUGGUGAUGACGGUCUUCGGGUUGUAAACUCCUUUCGCCAUCGACGCGGUAGAUGGAGAAGAAGCACCGGCUAACUACGUGCCAGUAGCCGCGGUAAUUC